rnacentral:rRNA from 1 species
ACCGGCGGCUCGAGUGGUGGCCACAAUUACUGGGCUUAAAGCGUUCGUAGCUGGCUUGUUAAGUCUCUGGUGAAAUCUUCCGGCUCAACCGGAAGACGGCUCAGGGAUACUGGCAGGUUAGGGACCGGAAGAGGUGCGAGGUACUCCAAGGGUAGGAGUGAAAUCCUGUAAUCCGUGAGGGACCACCUGUGGCGAAGGCAUCUCACCAGGACGGCUCCGACAGUGAGGAACGAAAGCGGGGGGAGCAAACAG